UUUAAAAUUUAUUUAUUUUAUUUCCAGCCAGCAGGGGGACCACCUGUCAUUACAGGCAGCCCCCCUGCUGGCAAUGCAGGAGGCAGCUAUCCCGGCCAUGUGAUUGUGAGGUCCUCGCAAGGACCUCACUCUCACAUGGCCGGGGGGCUGCCAGGGGGUCGGACGUGCCGCGCAGGGCUCCCUGGGAGUCCCCCCAACCGGGAUCGCCGGCGACCGGGUAAGUAAAGAAAGACCGGAGGGCGUACUAUUAUGCCCAGCGGCAUUUAGAGCCGCCUAAAAUAGGGCGUAAUAGUAUGCCCUCCGGUCUUAAGGGGUUAAGCUGUUCGUAUUAUAUUUGUUU